rnacentral:rRNA from 1 species
CCUACGGGAGGCUGCAGUGGGGAAUAUUGGACAAUGGGGGCAACCCUGAUCCAGCCAUGCCGCGUGUGUGAAGAAGGCCCUCGGGUUGUAAAGCACUUUCAGUGAGGAAGAACGCCUGGUGGUUAAUACCCAUCAGGAAAGACAUCACUCACAGAAGAAGCACCGGCUAACUCCGUGCCAGCAGCCGCGGUAAUACGGAGGGUGCGAGCGUUAAUCGGAAUUACUGGGCGUAAAGCGCGCGUAGGUGGCUUGAUAAGCCGGUUGUGAAAGCCCCGGGCUCAACCUGGGAACGGCAUCCGGAACUGUCAAGCUAGAGUGCAGGAGAGGAAGGUAGAAUUCCCGGUGUAGCGGUGAAAUGCGUAGAGAUCGGGAGGGAUACCAGUGGCGAAGGCGGCCUUCUGGACUGACACUGACACUGAGGUGCGAAAGCGUGGGUAGCAAACAGGAUUAGAUACCCGGGUAGUC